GGAAAGUACUUCCGAUGUGCUAGUUUUAAAGUAUGCUACAGUAAUGGCCACAUAUAACUUUUCAAAUGACAAGCAGCUUGGAGAUGAUGGCUAUGGCACAGUAUACAAGGGAAAAUUAAGGAAGGGACAGGAAAUAGCAGU